rnacentral:lncRNA from 1 species
UUCAUUAAUUACAUGCUUUCAUGAAAUGCGUCACAGCACAAACAAAUCAUAUCAUGGAUUGGACCCAACCCCAAAACAUCCCUAAGCUAUUUGCCCGGCCACCAUAGAGGGCACCACAGGACUUCGUAAUGCCUGGCCCAGCCAGGUCUUUUCCAUAGGGCUAGUAGGGUCGCCCUUGGUCCAAUCUCCAUCAACAGUAAAUAAUGCAAUGCUUCAUAUUCGUGUAACUAGUGCAAUCAACCUAUUACAUAUAAACAUGAUGCAUGAGCAUGCUUUAGGCAUUUGAUUUCAUAAAAUAAAGAUUUAGUUUAGUUCUACUCACCUCUGGCAGACGCUGAACUUGCUCUGCACAGCUAACACUACUGGCCUCCUCGGUCUCUCGGGUCCGAUCCUACACAGGUGGACUCGAAUGAGGUGCCAAACAUACUCUAAAC